CAAUAGCGUAGAUUAAAGUUGUUGCAGUUAGAACGCUCGUAGUCGGAUUUCGGGGCGUUCCGACCGGUCUGCCGAUGGGUAUGCACUGGCCGGAGUGUCCUUUUUGCCGGAGACCGUGCCUACUCUUAACUGAGCGGGGGCGGGAGACGGCACUUUUACUUUGAAAAAAUCAGAGUGUUUCAAGCAGGCAGCUCGCUCUUGCAUGGAUUAGCAUGGGAUAAUGAAAUAGGACUUUGGUGCUAUUUUGUUGGUUUCGAACACCGAAGUAAUGAUGAGAAGGGACAGUCAGGGGCACUCGUAUUCCGCAGAGAGAGGUGAAAUUCUCAGACCCGCGGAAGACGAACCACUGCGAAAGCAUUUGCCAGGGAUGUUUNCACUGA
rnacentral:rRNA from 1 species